AAAAAAAAGAGGAAAGAUAAAACCCAAACACGUCUCACAGGUCACAUUAAUAACAAAACCCUAAAAGUCUAAAACAUAAUUCCAAUUUCCAAGUUUCUCCGUCUCUCACUCUUUGACUCUCUCUCGCCGCGACGCCGCUGUCUCUGAAGCUUCAGUCAACUUCAAGUGUCGCCGGACGAUUAAAGGUAUUUUUCAUAUUGGCUUCAUUGUUCUUUUAUAGUUGCGAACAUUCUCACCUCAAAGUCCUAACCCAUACACAAACCCGAUUCUUCGAUGUCUUCAGGAAAAUUCGAAUUGGAAAGGGGAAAUUAUAGAUAGUGUUAGUUUGAUCCUCAAAUUUUGAAGACUCACAGUUUGGCUGAAUUUAUUGGGAGAAAUUGAGGGGUAUUGGAACUCUAAUGGCAACAAAUUCAAACCAAUUGAUGAUUCAACAAAUCCUAUAAAUAAGGAAAAUCCAAAUCAGCACGAAGAUCCAUCAGCUUUUUCAAAACAGAUUUUAUGGAAUAAUAUGUUAACAAAGCAUAUUUUACGGGACAAUAUGUUAACAAAACAGAUUUUAUGGGAGCAGAUCUUAUAGAAUUAUAUGCAGAUUUUAUGGAUUCAUAAUUUUUUUUGAUUUACAGCUACAUUAUGUAAUUUGCUUAAAAUACUCUCCUUUGUAUUGCCUAAGUGUUCACAUUGCAAUCAUUGAAAAUAAGAAACAUUAGCUUUCAGAACAAACAUGUGUAUUUUUUUCAGUUUCUCCUUAAUGCCUUCUUCUUGCGUGGGAACCUGUGUUUACUGCUUUACUUAUUUAUAGUGAACAACAAAGUUUCAACAUCUUUUUGACGAUGCUUCUCUGAUAUCAGGCUCUUACUGACAUAUUGAAAACAAACCAAACCUUACAAUCUGCAAUUUUUUAGUCUAAAAAUGAUGUAAUAAAAGGAUAUACACUUGGUUAACCUUUGUUAUAGUCAAAACUCAAAACCCAUAAUUUUCCAUUUCAAAAGUUCAUAUAUAUCUGUUCUUCUAUGGAAUUUUGCAGAUUAUUUUUGCUGAUUUGAUCCAUACUGGCUCAUCUUGAUUUUCUUUUUCUCUUGGGGUUUCAAAGAUAAUUUGUCUUACUGUUGUUGCUUAUAAUUGUAUUUCCUUUAGAUUACAUGUUUUUAGAGAUAAUCUGUUAGCUGAACAUAGAAAUUAUGUUGAAUCCUCAUCUUCUGUUGAUUGCCUGUUUCUCUGUGGUGCACGGCUAAUGAUUUACAAUUAUGACAGAUGCUAAGAUGUUAUUAUCAGAAAUGGAAAGUCUAUUUUAAGAGGAAGAAACUGGGGAUUUCUAUGCUUAAUAGUUUAAAACAAAUUUUAGCUCAAGCACCUUGGAUCUUAUGCAUGUUAAAUUUAUUGAAUCUGUCUGAAAUUGGCCGCGGAUAUUUAGAUAAUUGGUCGAGGUUUUUAGUACAGCAUGUGUGUGGCUUAGAUCUUAGUUUUAGACAUGAUCUUGAGGUGCUGUUACCAUGCUUGUUAAGAGCUUAAUCAAAUUGAACCCACUUCUUUCCUCUUGAUAGCAGAUAGACCUAUUUUUACCUGUACUGGUGGAUGAUCGAAGAGUUGGGGUGUCGUUACCAUGUUUAUGCAGAGAAAUAAGAAUAGCCAUCGUAUUGGAUUUGGAAACUACUUUUUGCUCAGGAGAAUGUUCUGUUUCACUAGUAUACAUUUAAAUGCAACCUCCUGGUCACAAAAAAUAAUUACUACUCUAGCUGGGCUUCCAAGUUCACAAGUAGAUAUCCACUUGGUAAUCAAGUAUUCAUUCAGAAAAAAUUAAAGACUGAUUAAUUCAAUUUCUUAGCUAUUUAUAUCCAUAUACAUGCAUAGCUAAUAUAAUGUUUUUUUAAAUCACAUACAUGCGCCUCCGAUUUUUAGUUUGUUUUACUUCAAUUUUGUUUCUUAUGGAUGAUUCAGGAAUUCAACUACGCCAGCUAUAUACUGCGUAUCUUGGUUUAUUGUUGUUCAGGGGAAAGAUUUAGCCCCUGUUGACAUAUGAGCAUAUCUAUAUUUUAAUCUGCUAUUGUUAGAAUCACAAAUAUGAAUCAUGUUGACCUUUCUGAAGAAGAAAAUUAUCUUGAGCCAAAUGUAGUUGUUGAUAGUGUAGAAGUUGAUCAAUACCCAGAUUCCGCUAAGGGUAAAAAGGGAAGUAAAAGAUCUGAUGUUUGGGAUCAUUUUAAACUGCAUGAUGAAAAGGCAGAGUGUAUUUACUGUGGGCAACUUUACAAGUAUGGCAACAAAAAUGCAGGGACUAGUACAUUGCGAAACCAUAUUGAGUGCUUAUGUAAGAAAUAUCCAUAUAGGGUUCCAGAGAAAAAGCAAAAGACUAUGAGUUAUUACACUAAAUCUAAAAAUGAUGUUUUAGAAGGCAUUACUAGUUCUGGACAAGUUGUUAAGUUCACUCAAAAAGGGAUUAGAGAAAUGAUUGCUAAGUACUUCUUAUUGGCAGAGUUACCAUUUAGACAUGUACAAGAUGAAGGUUUUCGAUUAUAUGCAAAGUAUUUUUUUCCAACAUUUGAAUUUCCUUCAAGAGUUAUAGUGGCAAAAGAUAUAUAUCAAUUGUACCUUGAUGAAAAGAAGAAACUGAAGAAAGAAUUGAGUAGACAUAGGGUUUGUUUAACUACUGAUUGUUGGACAUCCAUUCAAAAUAUUAGUUACAUGUGUUUGACUGUUCAUUGGGUUGAUGAUGACUGGAUCCUUCAAAAACGUAUUAUAAGCUUCAUUCAAGUCCCCAGUCUUAAGGGUAAUAUGGUGGCUAAGGAGUUAAUUUCUUGUCUUCAUGAUUGGGGAAUUAAAAAGAUUUUUUGUGUGACUGUUGAUAACGCCUCAUCUAAUGAUGUUGCAAUAUCGAAAUUGAAAGAGAGUUUUCAGGAGACUAAACAUGGUCUAAUUCUUGAUGGAGAAAUGCUUCAUAUGAGGUGUUGUGCUCAUAUUCUCAAUCUCAUUGUUUGUGAUGGUCUAAAAGAAAUUAGUAGUUCUAUUUCAUCAAUUCGCAAUGCUGUAAGGUUUACUAGGUCUUCCCGGGCACGAUUGAAAAGGUUCAGGGAGAGUUGCAACGAGGUUAACAUCGAGUCUCGAGUUUUGUUGUGUUUAGAUGUGACUACUAGAUGGAAUUCUACCUACUUGAUGUUAGACACUGCAAUGAUAUUUAGAAAAGCAUUUGGUGCUUUAGAAAGUAAUGCAAAUUACACAAAGUACUUUGAUGAAGAGAGAAUAGGCGAUGAAAGAAGGGGUUCACCCACUCCAUUCGAUUGGGAUCAAGCACAAAUUUUUGUGAAGUUUCUUAAAACAUUCUAUGAUAUGACAUUGAAAGUUAGUGACUCUUUAUAUGUAACAUCUAACACUUUUUUUCAAGAGCUUUGUGAAAUUCAUGGGGAGUUGAAUGAAUUAGCUAAAGAUCCUAAUAGUUUGAUGGGAAAAAUGGCUAUUAGCAUGCGAAGAAAACAUGAUAAGUAUUGGGGCAAUCAUGAAAAGUUUAAUGACUUGUUAUUCAUAGCAACAGUUUUUGACCCGAGAUGCAAGUUGGAAUUACUUAAAGUUGGCUUUGAAAUCAUGUAUAAUGAAGAAAUUGCUAAGAAAAUGUUAGCAAAAGUAGAAAAUUCAAUUCACAGGUUAUAUAACUGCUACAAGGAAAUGAUGCCUCCACCAUCAAAUGAGAUGUCUCAAACUAGUAGUCAAAGUCAACAACCUACUUUGGGUAUUUCUAGACCCAUCCCUUCAAUCUUUAAAGCGAGACUUAAUCGAGAUGCUAGGUUGUAGAAAAAUGAUUUGGUAGAUUACUUGUCCGACCGAUGCGAUGAUUUGACUGAGGAGCCAUUCGACAUUUUGAUGUGGUGGAAAAUAAAUGCUCCUAAGUAUAAGAUUGUCUCCCAAAUUGCCAAAAAUGUAUUAGCGAUUCAAAUUUCUACAGUUGCUUCUGAGUCUGCAUUCUCUACUGGAGGUCGGAUACUUGAUUCCUUCAGGAGUUCAUUAGGUGCACGGAUGGUUGAGGCUUGUAUAUGUGGAAAGAAUUGGUUGCAAGCUAAGAAGGAACAUAUAGUGCUGCGCCAAUAUUUAGAUGAAGUGGAGGCAUUGGAUGAUUCAAUGAAAGUUGUGGCAGGUGAUUUAUAUUUUCUAUUACCAUAGUUUUGAAGAUUCUCUUAUCUAUCUGGUAUCUAAUACUAUGAUCAUGCAAUGAAUGGAUUUGUUUGACUAUGCAGACGAUGAAUCAUGCGUGACAACAAUUGAUGUUUGAGUAUAUGCGAGAAAUUGAGUUCGUAACAACAUACAACCGUAAACUUGUAUAAUUGUUAUGUUUAGAUAUUAUAAAUAACUUUUUUAAUAUUGUGGUUGGUUAUUCUCUCUGUCUAAUCAAUAGCCUUUUUUCUUGCAGAUAUGAUGAUCACGAUUUGGACAUCAUUCAUGUUUUUGGCUUUAUAAUUAAUUUAGUAGACUUUUAUUGUAACGGUAUGGUAAUGCCAUUAGCUUAAAAAUGGUGAACAAAAAACUAUGUUUAAGUUUAUUGUGAUUUUCCUUUGAUUUAGUUGGUACUUAAAUUUAUAGUAGAUAUAUCUAGUUUGUUUUAGAUUUAUUGCUAGUAACUAGUAAGAUAUAAAUAUAUAUUGAAUUAAUGGCGUAAAAGUAGA
rnacentral:lncRNA from 1 species